GGGAGGGGGGGGGGGGGCGAUCGACAACACAGGUAUGUGAUCACUCAAUACAAAUAGUCCUUAAAAUGUGUGUGUGCAGUGGGGUGGGGGGGGGGAAGAAGCUUACUUUUUUUGGCUUGAUCUGCUUCUGAAAAAAAAAAUAAAACAAAGGUCAACCGUGAGUGUCAAGAUGGUUCAGGGAGUUAACAGUCAAAAACAGAAAUGGUACAAGACGUUACUGUUCCAUAUCGGAGCAAGAAAUCUGAAUUGAAGGGAGAUUGUGCCAUGAUCGAUAAGCAUGUACGGAAUGAAGUGUGCUUAGUUUGGUUCUUUGGGGUCGAAGGUCAUGAUGGUAUGUACAGUCAUCCUCUUUAGCUUGCCACUAAACAGUUUUGUUUUUUUCCCCUCCCAUUUCCAGAGGCGCAACUUGCACAUAAAAGGAGAAAUAUUUCUAUAGAGGGGACUCAUUUUCACAGAAGUGCAUUCUUCUUCUUCACGGUGCAAAGGUGGCAGCAGCAUUUUAUAUGGAGGCGGCUGAAGUAUGGAAUCUUGGAGCCAAGUGGUUGUCAGUGCGCCCUCCAGCGGACAAAACGACAAUGUUUAUUAACGCUGAAGUUAAUAAACGUUCCCUGACGGUGAGAGAUGAGUGUAAAAAAGAAAAGCGCAUCAGAGAUGGACCAGCGUGUCGUACAAAGGAGAUGCGAAGCCGUACUCUGAGCCGUCUCGCAGACCACUCCGUUCUCCAGAUCGUCCAAGCAGCUGACACGUUCCCACUUGCCCGUGUCGCUGUGCACGGCCACGCACGUUUCCAUGGGCACAAAGUCCAACGGGGACGAGCCCGGUUCCCAGUUGGUAAACUUGACCGGCUCUUCGUCGAACCACAUCAUGCCU